CAAGAAGAAAUAAUCGGAGAGAAACUUUUCCGUACUAAAUUUUAUUUCAACAAGAGUAACUAGAAAAAAAAUCCAACAAAGAUGAAGAAGAUUCCGAUGAUUUUGCUUGUGGUUAUUGCUUUAGAGAUGCAGACAAAAGCACAAAUGUCAACGACCACAACUGCCUCAAUAACAACCACAGCAGCUCCAACUACAACCACGACAGAACCAACAACAACCACAGUUGCUCCAACAACAACCACAGUUGCUCCAACAACAACCACAGCUGAAACAACAACAACCACAGCUGUCCCAACAACAACCACAGCUGAACCAAC